CGGUUAUUUAAUAUCCACCAUAAGAGCGUUAUUUCAUAGAAACUGUCUUUGCCUCAUAUUUACUCAUAUUGGAAUCAUCUGACAGACAAUAUUGUUUGGGAAAAGCUCUGGCUUAUAUCUGCUCAAUAUUUAACUUCAAACGAAGGCAAAGAGCUAUCAUUUAAAAUGAUAGACAGGAUUUACCCAGUGAAACAUUACUGUGUUAAGUUUAAAGGUGAUCUUGAUUUGAUUUGCACUUUUUGUGACAGUUGUCCUGAAACUGUGGUGAAUUUGAUGGCAAAAUUCCAUAUUCACAAAUAUAAGUUUUCCUGUAAAACAACAACAACAACAACAACAAAACAACAACAACCCUGUGUUAUAUCUUUCAAGGAAGAAACGGAACAUUAUAUUAACUCAAUACGAUUCUCUAUGAAGCAAAAAGCAGUUCAAACUUUACUCAUUAGAUUGUGGUCUACUCGAGGUCAUACUGCCCCCUCCUGUUCAUCUAGGUGUAGUGCAACUGCCAUCCAAGCAGAAAAUCCCACCAUGGCAUCCUGUCUUUCAUGACUGAGUCCCACCCAAAUGGCUCCAUGGUAGCAGGUGUGACGUGAUAAAUGUAGGUAGGGAUUGAUUUGGGAUCCAGCUUUUCUGUUGAAUUAAUGGCUCAAUUUUGCUGAUUUUAUGUCUUUCUUGCUGAGAUUUCUCUUAUUGUAAAAUCUCUUAAACUCAUUGAUAACAAUAAGAAUAACAAGUUUCUGAUGAAUUAUGAUCAUUUUUUUUUUUACUGAUUGAGGUGCUAUUGUUUUUUUCUCUAUCUCUCUUCCUUUUUCUUUUGUUUUAUUGUAUUUCAAUGCAGUGCUGUUUCCUUUUCUUGCAAUAAAAAAAAAGUGUAGUCCACGUCUUAUAUCUGCCUGAAGGUCUUCAUGCACUACUGGUCCUAUCACCGAAUUAAUCAGCGCUGCGCAUUUCUUUCUGUGUAAACUGAUACCUUUCUUGGAAAUGUCUUCCACAACUCUUCCGAAAUGAUCAACAGUUAUUAAGGUGCUUGAGUGGCGAGCAACUUGAGCAGCCAGCUACAACUCUGCCUAUUUUACUGCAGGUUUUAUUCUGGGUAAGAGAACUGAACCCCAAAUUGGACUAAUCAGCUGUGAGCAAAAUUAUAUAAAUCUGACACAUCAAAGUUAACCCAUUAAUGUUUGUAGACACUAGUGUACAAAUUAUGGACAGUUGCUUUUAGAAUAUUCCUUUCAUGUUCCUGUUUUACAUGUUAUAGAACAGAAAUCGAUUAACGGCACACGUCAUUACGUUCCCACGCCACGCUGUCUGACAUUGACUCCAGAAUUUCACGUAUCAAUCUACAGCCGGGGAGGGUGAAGGCUAACAUGUGCUUCCUCCCAGACAUGUGAAGACAAACUCACCUUUUGGAACUGCUGCUCAUGCUGCAUCACACACGUAACACACUCGGAGGAAAGCUCUAGAGUAUGCCUCUCACACACACACACACACACACAGACGAUGCCCAAUUUUGCACUUUAACUCUUUAAAUAUUUUUUAUUUUUUAAGCUAUAGUUAAUAAAGUAAUUAAAAAACAUGGUUAUAUGUAAGAUUAUUAAACAUAUCAGUUGUAGACAUUAUUGGUGUUAUAACUGCCCAUGUCCAGCCCAUGCAGGAGCCUCCAUAUCACCCUGCUGCUGUUCCACACUAACCCACAUUUAACCCACGUGGAGCCCCCUGUUUCCCUACACACUACAUCAUUGUCUAUAUCAGUAAUCAUCUGUACAAGAUUAAUUAGGUUUUUUUUUUUUUAAAAACUAUUCACUUUUCACUUGUA